rnacentral:sRNA from 1 species
CCGUUAACUGCUCAUGGGACGCUCUAUUUUGGGGGGAGGUGUUGAAACUUUUAAGAAUUAUGCUCCAUCCUGUCGUUUUUUUCAAAACGUAUAUCGUGUAGGCACGGUGGGUUUGGCUCCAUUCAGCUGAUUGGCACUGUUGAAAGACAGGAAUUCUAACCCUGGCAGCGGGGAGGUCCUGGACAGUGCACACUCCCCUCCUCCAUCUGCUGGCUCGAAGCUAUUCGAAGCUAUUCGAAGCUAUUCUUCAGAGUCUCCACAGUCAGCGUCAAGCACCCAGGAGUGGAUAAGUUUAUUCCAGAAAAGGUAAAGGU